GAUGAACGCUGGCGGCAUGCCUAAUACAUGCAAGUCGAACGCGAGGAAGGAAAGCUUGCUUUUCUGAAUCUAGUGGCGAACGGGUGAGUAACACGUAGGUAACCUGCCCAUGUGCCCGGGAUAACUUCUGGAAACGGAUGCUAAAACCGGAUAGGUAGCAGACAAGCAUUUGACUGCUAUUAAAGUGGCUAAGGCCAUGAACAUGGAUGGACCUGCGGUGCAUUAGCUAGUUGGUGAGGUAACGGCCCACCAAGGCGACGACGCAUAGCCGGCCUGAGAGGGCGGACGGCCACAUUGGGACUGAGACACGGCCCAAACUCCUACGGGAGGCAGCAGUAGGGAAUUUUCGUCAAUGGGGGGAACCCUGAACGAGCAAUGCCGCGUGAGUGAGGAAGGUCUUCGGAUCGUAAAGCUCUGUUGUAAGAGAAAAACGACAUUCAUAGGGAAUGAUGAGUGAGUGAUGGUAUCUUACCAGAAAGUCACGGCUAACUACGUGCCAGCCGCCGCAGUAA
rnacentral:rRNA from 1 species